GGGCCUGUAAUGUGCAGACAUGCGGAACAACACCGGAGGCCAACGCGACACUCUGGUCUGGGACAGAGGCUGAUAUGCGAAAGUCUGGGGAUCAAACAGGAUUAGAUACCCUGCUAGUCGACACUGUAAAGGUUGUACAGUAGGUGUUAGUGGAGUUAUUCUCUAGUGCCGUAGCAAACACGUUGAGUGUAGCGCCUGGCCAGUAUGGCCGCUAGGGUGAUACUGAAAGGAUUUGAGGGGGGCGCGCACUAGCGGCGGAGCAGGUGGUUUAAUUCGAUGAAACGCGUAAAACCUUGGCAAGGCUUUACAUACCGUAGACGACCGUACAGAUACUGUUUCCAGCAAUGGCUGCUGACAGGUGCUGCAUGGCUGUCGUCANCUCGUGUCGUGAGAUGUUGGGUUAAGUCCCGCAACGAGCGCAACCCUCAUUCCUAGUUACCAACAGGUAAAGCUGGGGACUUCUAGGGAAUCUGCCAGGGAGAAUCAUGGAGGAAGGAGGGGAUGAAGUCAAGUGUCGCAUGGCCNUUAUGCCCUGGGCGACACACGUGCUUACAAUGGGCUGUACAAAGGGAAGCGAAACCCGCGAGGGGGAGCAAAUGCCUAGAAAAGCCUUCCUUUCAGUUUAGGAGUGGCCAGGGCUGUCAAACUUUGUCUUGGCACGAAAUUUCGGAAUGCNGCUAAAUACGAGACGCUUUUGCCUUUUCUNAAUUUUGUCAG
rnacentral:rRNA from 1 species